rnacentral:rRNA from 1 species
UACAGAGGUGCCGAGCGUUAGGCGGAAUCACUGGGCUUAAAGCGUGUGUAGGCGGAUGCCUAAGUACCUUGUGAAAUCCCACGGCUUAACCGUGGAACUGCUCGGUAUACUGGGUGUCUUGAGCCACUUAGGGGCUACCGGAACAAAUGGUGGAGCGGUGAAAUGCGUAGAUAUCGUCAGGAAUGCCGGUGGUGAAGACGGGUGACUGGGCUGGUUCUGACACUGAGGCACGAAAGCGUGGGGAGCGAACGGG